CCUCCCCACAACACAACAACGGUAGUCACUACUGCUACUGGCCCAUCAUCCAUAUCCAUCCACGCUUCUACGUCUUCACCGACAAAAAAGAGUGCAAGUUUUGAGAUGGAACCUCCCCAGGUCCAAGCAAUAGACGGCAACUACCCUCCACAGAAAGAUGCGCAGGACAAAGUUAUGAAUGAAUGUUGUUCUUGCUUCUAUGACUGCUCGGAUAGCCGUCUCGAGUACUUUUGCUGCUACGACCUCUGUUAGUUUCUAGGAUGCCACGGGAGUACGUUUACAGUUUAUCGACUUCUUUUGCUUUAGUUAUAAGAGCUGUCAUUUUUCUUGGUGUUCAACGGAAGGAACAAGUUUAUGGUCUUUGUUCUUCGUUCUUCAGAUCUGUUUAACUUUUUAUUUCUCUUUCGUUUUUUAUUUGUGGCUGAUAUGAUAUGAUCAUUUGCGUUGUGGAUAUUGAUUGCUCGAAUCAUGGGAUUUUUUAUU